rnacentral:rRNA from 1 species
CCAGGUGUGUCAGGUGUGAAAUCCUGCGGCUUAACCGUAGAAUUGCGCCUGAAACUACCUGGCUUGAGUGUCGGAGAGGUAAGUGGAAUUCCUGGUGUACCGGUGAAAUGCGUAGAUAUCAGGAGGAACACCAAUGGCGAAGGCAGCUUACUGGACGACAACUGACGCUGAGGCUCGAAAGCGUGGGGAGCGAAAGGGAUUAGAUACCCCUGUAGUCCACGCCGUAAACGUUGUACGCUAGAUAUCGGGGGAUUCGACCCCCUCGGUGUCCCAGCUAACGCGAUAAGUGUACCGCCUGCGGACUACGGUCGCAAGACUAAAACGUAAAGGAAUUGGCGGGGCCCCGCACAAGCGGUGGAGCAUGUGGCUUAAUUCGAUGCAACGCGAAGAACCUUACCUGGGCUUGACAUGCAGUGGAUCGGCAGUGAAAGCUGCCCUCUCUUCGGAGCCGCUGCACAGGUGCUGCAUGGCUGUCGUCAGCUCGUGUCGUGAGAUGUUCGGUUAAGUCCGGCAACGAGCGCAACCCCUGUCCUUAGUCGCCAGCAUUCAGUUGGGGACUCUAAGGAGACAAUCCUGCUCUGCAGGAGGGAAGGUGGGGAUGACGUCAAGUCAGUAUGGCCCUUACGUCCAGGGCUGCACACGUGCUACAAUGCCCGGUACAAUGGGAAGCAAUACCGCGAGGUGGAGCAAAUCCGUAAAACCGGGCCCAGUUCGGAUUGGAGUCUGCAACUCGACUCCAUGAAGCCGGAAUCGCUAGUAAUGGCGCAUCAGCAUUGGCGCCGUGAAUACGUUCNCCGGGGCUUGCACACACCGCCCGUCAAAUCAUGAAAGCCGGUUCUGCCCGAAGUCUGUGAGCCAACCCGCAAGGGAGGCAGCGGCCUAAGGUAGGGCUGGUGAUUGGGAUAAGUCGUAANAAG